rnacentral:ncRNA from 2 species
AAUAAUGUUAUCCAAUCAGGUUCCCGAACGGCAAAGCCCAAGGGGAUUAAAAGGGAAUACGGUAGGGACGACCCAAUGCGGGCCUGAUCCGUAACUGCCCUCGCAACUGUGAACGUGGAGCUUGCUGCCACAAUGCCACUAAGCAAAAGCUUGGGAAGGCGGCAACAAGCAGAGAAGCGUGAGUCAGGAGACCUGCCUGAUAUAGUGAAACUAA